rnacentral:rRNA from 1 species
GAUGAACGCUGGCGGCGUGCCUAAUACAUGCAAGUCGAGCGAACAGACGAGGAGCUUGCUCCUUCUACGUUAGCGGCGGACGGGUGAGUAACACAUAUGUAACCUACCUAUAAGACUGGGAUAACGUCGGGAAACCGGAGCUAAUACCGGAUAAUAUUUCGAACCGCAUGGUUCGAUAGUGAAAGAGGGCUUUGCUAUCACUUAUAGAUGGACCUGCGCCGGAUUAGCUAGUUGGUAAGGUAACGGCUUACCAAGGCAACGAUACGUAGCCGACCUGAGAGGGUGAUCGGCCACACUGGAACUGAGACACGGUCCAGACUCCUACGGGAGGCAGCAGUGGGGAAUUUUGCGCAAUGGGCGAAAGCCUGACCGAGCAAUGCCGCGUGAGUGAAGAAGGUCUUCGGAUUGUAAAACUCUGUUAUUAGGGAAGAACAAACGUGUAAGUAACUGUGCCCGUCUUGACGGUACCUACUCAGAAAGCCACGGCUAACUACGUG